rnacentral:rRNA from 1 species
GAUGAACGCUGGCGGCGUGCCUAAUACAUGCAAGUCGAGCGAACAGACGAGGAGCUUGCUCCUCUGACGUUAGCGGCGGACGGGUGAGUAACACGUGGAUAACCUACCUAUAAGACUGGGAUAACUUCGGGAAACCGGAGCUAAUACCGGAUAACAUGUUGAACCGCAUGUUUCAACAGUGAAAGACGGUCUUGCUGUCACUUAUAGAUGGAUCCGCGCCGCAUUAGCUAGUUGGUAAGGUAACGGCUUACCAAGGCAACGAUGCGUAGCCGACCUGAGAGGGUGAUCGGCCACACUGGAACUGAGACACGGUCCAGACUCCUACGGGAGGCAGCAGUAGGGAAUCUUCCGCAAUGGGCGAAAGCCUGACGGAGCAACGCCGCGUGAGUGAAGAAGGUCUUCGGAUCGUAAAACUCUGUUAUUAGGGAAGAACAAAUGUGUAAGUAACUAUGCACGUCUUGACGGUACCUAAUCAGAAAGCCACGGCUAACUACGUG